rnacentral:rRNA from 1 species
UACAGAGGUCCCAAGCGUUGUUCGGAUUCACUGGGCGUAAAGGGUGCGUAGGCGGUCGGGUAAGUCUGAUGUGAAAUCUCACAGCUUAACUGUGGAAACUCGCAUUGGAUACUAUCCGGCUCAAGGAAUGGAGGGGAGACUGGAAUACUUGGUGUAGCAGUGAAAUGCGUAGAUAAUCAAGUGGAACACCAGUGGCGAAGGCGAGUCUCUGGACAUUUCCUGACGCUGAGGCACGAAAGCCAGGGGAGCAAACGGG